rnacentral:misc_RNA from 1 species
GACGUAGGGGGCGAGCGUUGUUCGGAAUCACUGGGCGUAAAGGGAGCGUAGGCGGCAUGGUAAGUCAGAUGUGAAAUCCCGGGGCUCAACCCCGGAACUGCAUUUGAUACUGCCGUGCUUGAGUAAUGGAGGGGUAGCUGGAAUUCUCGGUGUAGCAGUGAAAUGCGUAGAGAUCGAGAGGAACACUCGUGGCGAAGGUGAGCUACUGGACAUUUACUGACGCUGAGGCUCGAAGGCCAGGGUAGCGAAAGGG